rnacentral:rRNA from 1 species
AGUGAACGCUGGCGGUAGGCCUAACACAUGCAAGUCGAACGACAGCACAGUAAGCGCUUGCCCUUACCGGUGGCGAGUGGCGGACGGGUGAGACGUACAUCGGCAUCUUCUUUUUCGUGGGGGAUUACGUGGGGCAACUUCCGCUAAUACAGCAUACGACCUACGGGUUAAAGCAGGGGAUAUUCGUAGCUUGCGUGUUUCAUUGAGCCGGUGCCGGAUUAGCUAGUUGGCGGGGUAAAGGCCCACCAAGGCGACGAUCCGUAGCUGAUCUGAGAGGAUGAUCGGCCACACUGGAACUGAGACACGGUCCAGACUCCUACGGGAGGCAGCAGUAGGGAAUAUUGGACAAUGGGCGCAAGCCUGAUGCAGCCACACCGCGUGGGUGAAGAAGGCCUUCGGGUUGUAAAGCCCUGUUGUUAGGAAAGAAAAGCAGCGGAAUAAUACGCGGAUGUUCUGACGGUACCCAAAGAGAAAGCACCGGCUAACUACGUG